rnacentral:rRNA from 1 species
UGUUAGCGGCGGCGGGUGAGUGACACGUGUCUGACCUGCCUGUGAAGUGGGGUAACUCCGGGAAAACGGGGCUAAUACCGGAUGGAACGUGAACCGAAUGGUUCAGACGAAAAAAGGGGCUUUUGCUACCACAUGUACAUGGACCCGCGGCGCAUUAUCUAGUUGUGGAGGUUCCGGCUCACCACGGUGACUAUGUGGACUGAACCUGAGAGGGUGAUCGGGCACACUGAGACUGAGACACGGCCCAUACUCCUACGGGAGGCAGCGAUAGGGAAUCUUCCCCAAUGGGCCAGAGGCUGACGGAGCGCCGCCGCGUGAGUGAUGAACGUUUUCGGAUCGUUUUCUCUGUUGUUAAGGAAAAAAAAGUGCCGUUCUUUGAUGGCUGACCCUUGACGGUACCUAACCCCAAAGCCACUCCUAACCACCUGCCGCCAUCCGCGGUAAUACGCAAGUGGCAAUCGUUAUUCCUGAAUUAUUGGGCGUAAAGGGGUCGCUUGCGGUUUCUUAUGUCUGAUGUGAAAGCCCCCGGCUCAAACUGCGAGGGACAUUG